rnacentral:lncRNA from 1 species
GCCUUGGAAGACAUGAAAUCAGGAAAAGGGGCCGGAAAAGAUGGAAUAAGAGUCGAUUUAAUCAGAGAUGGAGGAGA